rnacentral:rRNA from 1 species
CGCGGCCUAUCAGCUUGUUGGUGGGGUAAUGGCCCACCAAGGCUUCGACGGGUAGCCGGCCUGAGAGGGUGACCGGCCACACUGGGACUGAGACACGGCCCAGACUCCUACGGGAGGCAGCAGUGGGGAAUAUUGGACAAUGGGCGAAAGCCUGAUCCAGCAACGCCGCGUGAGGGAUGACGGCCUUCGGGUUGUAAACCUCUUUCAGCAGGGACGAAGCGAAAGUGACGGUACCUGCAGAAGAAGCACCGGCCAACUACGUGCCAGCAGCCGCGGUAAUACGUAGGGUGCGAGCGUUGUCCGGAAUUAUUGGGCGUAAAGGGCUCGUAGGCGGUUUGUCACGUCGGGAGUGAAAACUCAGGGCUUAACCCUGAGCCUGCUUCCGAUACGGGCUGACUAGAGGUAUGCAGGGGAGAACGGAAUUCCUGGUGUAGCGGUGAAAUGCGCAGAUAUCAGGAGGAACACCGGUGGCGAAGGCGGUUCUCUGGGCAUUACCUGACGCUGAGGAGCGAAAGUGUGGGGAGCGAACAGGAUUAGAUACCCUGGUAGUCCACACCGUAAACGUUGGGCGCUAGGUGUGGGACUCAUUCCACGAGUUCCGUGCCGCAGCUAACGCAUUAAGCGCCCCGCCUGGGGAGUACGG